UACGUAGGGUGCGAGCGUUGUCCGGAAUUAUUGGGCGUAAAGAGCUCGUAGGCGGUCAGUCGCGUCUGCUGUGAAAACUCGGGGCUUAACUCCGGGCCUGCAGUGGGUACGGGCUGACUAGAGUGCGGUAGGGGAGACUGGAAUUCCUGGUGUAGCGGUGAAAUGCGCAGAUAUCAGGAGGAACACCGGUGGCGAAGGCGGUUCUCUGGGCAUGAUCUGACGCUGAGGAGCGAAAGUGUGGGGAGCGAACAGG
rnacentral:rRNA from 1 species